UACGUAGGGGGCAAGCGUUGUCCGGAGUUACUGGGCGUAAAGGGCCCGCAGGCGGUUCGGCGCGUUUCCGGUGCCAGCCCCGUGCUUAACGCGGGGAGUGCCGGGAAGACGGUCGGACUGGAGGGCCUCAGAGGGACAUAGAAUUCCGGGUGGAGUGGUGAAAUGCGUAGAGAUCCGGAGGAAUACCAAAGGCGAAGGCAGUGUCCUGGGAGGCGCCUGACGCUGAGGGGCGAAAGCCAGGGGAG
rnacentral:rRNA from 1 species